rnacentral:rRNA from 1 species
UAGGGAAUCUUCCGCAAUGGGCGAAAGCCUGACGGAGCAACGCCGCGUGAGUGAUGAAGGUCUUCGGAUCGUAAAACUCUGUUAUCAGGGAAGAACAAAUGUGUAAGUAACUGUGCACAUCUUGACGGUACCUGAUCAGAAAGCCACGGCUAAUUACGUGCCAGCAGCCGCGGUAAUACGUAGGUGGCAAGCGUUAUCCGGAAUUAUUGGGCGUAAAGCGCGCGUAGGCGGUUUUUUAAGUCUGAUGUGAAAGCCCACGGCUCAACCGUGGAGGGUCAUUGGAAACUGGAAAACUUGAGUGCAGAAGAGGAAAGUGGAAUUCCAUGUGUAGCGGUGAAAUGCGUAGAUAUAUGGAGGAACACCGGUGGCGAAAGCGGCUCUCUGGUCUGUAACUGACGCUGAGGCUCGAAAGCGUGGGGAGCGAACAGG